rnacentral:rRNA from 1 species
UACGUAGGGGGCAAGCGUUGUCCGGAUUUAUUGGGUGUAAAGGGUGCGUAGGCGGCUUUGUAAGUCAGUGGUGAAAUAUGGCAGCUCAACUGUCAAGGUGCCAUUGAUACUGCGGAGCUUGAGUACAGAUGAGGUAGGCGGAAUUGACGGUGUAGCGGUGAAAUGCUUAGAUAUCGGCAAGAACACCUAUAGCGAAGGCAGCUUACUAGGCUGUAACUGACGCUGAGGCACGAAAGUGUGGGGAUCAAACAGG